rnacentral:rRNA from 1 species
GACGAACGCUGGCGGCGUGCUUAACACAUGCAAGUCGAGCGAGAGCCAGCUGAGGGGUAACCCUCGGCUGGGGACAGCGGCGAACGGGUGCGUAACACGUGGGCAACCUGCCCCUGACACUGGGAUAACCCCGGGAAACCGGAGCUAAUACCGGAUACUCUCGGCCGAUCACAUGGCUGGCCGAGGAAAGGUCCGCCGGUCAGGGGAUGGGCCCGCGGCCUAUCAGCUUGUUGGUGAGGAACGGCCCACCAAGGCGACGACGGGUAGCUGGUCUGAGAGGACGACCAGCCACACUGGAACUGAGAUACGGUCCAGACUCCUACGGGAGGCAGCAGUGGGGAAUAUUGCACAAUGGGCGAAAGCCUGAUGCAGCGACGCCGCGUGAGGGAUGAAGGCCUCGGUUGUAA